rnacentral:rRNA from 1 species
UACGGAGGGGGCUAGCGUUGUUCGGAAUUACUGGGCGUAAAGCGCACGUAGGCGGCUUUGUAAGUUAGAGGUGAAAGCCCGGGGCUCAACUCCGGAACUGCCUUUAAGACUGCAUCGCUAGAAUUGUGGAGAGGUAAGUGGAAUUCCGAGUGUAGAGGUGAAAUUCGUAGAUAUUCGGAAGAACACCAGUGGCGAAGGCGACUUACUGGACACAUAUUGACGCUCAUGUGCGAAAGCGUGGGGAGCAAACAGG